GUGGAUGUAGCUCAGUAGGUUAGAGCGUCGGAUUGUGGUUCCGAAGGUCGCCGGUUCGAGCCCGGUCUUCCACCCA
rnacentral:tRNA from 2 species